UAAGUAUAAACAACUUCAUACUGWACACCGCAUGGGGCUCUUUAUCUCUUAUAUUUUUUUUUUGAUGGUUUCUUACUAACUGGAUAACCGUAGUAAUUCUACAUCUAAUACAUGCGUAAAGUCUCUUAUCUCAUAGGCCAAUUUGUUGAAUCUARAUAACUUUGCAAUGCGCCCCUUGGUCGGGUUUAUGCUGACUCRUUUCUGCCCUACCGAUCUUUCGAUGGCACUGCAGUGAACUACCAUGCCUUUUUCGGCCCUCGGGGAAUUAGGGUUCGAUUCCGGGACUACCGCCUGAKAAACGGGUGAACRACAAAKGAAGGCAGAUUCCGCAKAAGUAACCCGAUCAKGACCCACGGAGGCARUGGCARGAWRCARGCACGCRACCUACCCCRCCCUUGUAKUGAGGGGUUUCGACACCRAACCACKAKACMUGUUGUUCGGCAAGUCUGGUGCCAGAAUGAGCGGUUUUCCUCCUCCAAUAGAGUAUAUUAAAGUUGUUGCRUCUGGWGCCCUCRKASUCGGAUUU
rnacentral:rRNA from 1 species